GCCUGCCUCUUGGCUGGAGGCUGAAGGAUUCAGGCAUUAGAGACGAAGACGCUGGGUCUGAUGCUGAGCAUCAAACUGUUUGACUGUCUCUACGCUCAAGAGUUUAUAUAUUUCCCCCCAACUACUGCUGGUUUUCACCCCAAUUAUGCCUGCAAAAGCCAUUUGUGAAGUUGGCUAGAAGAUUUUUUUUUUUGAAAAAGAGGGCGUGUGGAUCCAGAAAUGCUGGACUAGACUCCUGAAUCUGGCCCCUUAUCCCUACUCCCUUCCUUGGGAAUGGCCUGAAGAAAUGCCUCUGCCAGGGCUUGCUACAUUUAAGUAUUCAGAUUUGAAAGGGAAACCAAGAGCUACGCUGGAGAAAACUUUGAUGCCCAAACCCUAAGAAGUGUCCUAUUUUUUGAGAGGCUCAUGUACUGAAUUUUGUGCAUUAAAAUGAGUUCCCCAAAUGAAGACUGCUAAAAAAAAAGAAAGAAAGAAAAAGAAGACAUUUUUGUAUGAUCUCAAACUAAUCGGUGAAAACCUGAAGAUAUAAAGGGCUAUGCUUGACUAGAGACUUAAGCAUAUGGUAUCUGCUUUGAAAUUCUCUGUUUGGGUAUGAACUUUUUCAGACGUUUUCAAGCAGUCUCUUCUUUGACGUUCUGUUUAUACACAUCAAAAUUUCCUACUGAAGAAAACCUUUUCCUCUUUAAAAAUUUUUGAAAGUGAGAAAAUAAAAGCAUUUUCAUAGCAUAAAACUAGAAUUUCACACUUAAACUGUGAAAACCAGCAAUACAGGUUAAAGCAGAAGUUUCAAAACCCUACAACUGUUUUCAUCGAACCAAAUUUCAUCUUUAACUUUUUUUUUCUACUGUUACUUAAACAACUUUUAAAUUAAUUCAGAUAACAACUUGGAAAAUUGAAGUAUUUUAUUCCCACAUCACAAAAGGCGUUUCUUCAAUGGGGCAAUUUUUAAGGGUUCUACAUAUAUUAAAGAGAAGAAGACCCUUUUAACUGAGAACUUUCCUGAAGGUAAGAAAAGUUCCAUACUGUGACGGCUUUUCUUUCACAAUCACAGCCAAAGGAAGACAUGAAAAGAGAAAUUAUCUAAACUUCUAGAGGGCAGUGACCACGAGGAACUUUUUUUUUUUUAUAGUACCCAGGCCAGAGCCGGGUGCAGGUGGGUGUCUUCCUAACAGAAUUUGCCUGAUGCAAUGAGCAGCACUGUGGAAGUCAAAUCCUCCCGCUUUCCAUCUGUGGAUGUCUGUCAUUUGGGGACAAUGACCAGCACUAUAUUUUCUUAACCCAAUAUGGACAGAGAACGUGUUUGGAUUGUAUUGUGUGACAUCCCCUUCUCUAUCGAAAAGGCCCAAGAGGGGCAGGGGGUGGGGCCUGGCUUUUUAAGGAUGGGUCUAAUGCGUUCAGCUGUUAUCACACUUUGCUGAUUGUAAUCACUUGUUUUAUGGUUUCUUUUCCAGCUGCUCAAAAAAUUCAUUGCGGUGUCUUCUAGGUUUAUUUUUAAUAUCCUGCAAUUCAAAGAUCUAAGAAAGAAGAGUUGAAAUAGAAAUCCAUGUCCUGAUUUCCUCUCCAUUUUUUUCCUCAUGGGGAAGACAGGAUUUAGGAUUUGGACACAUUCUUCAAAAUCUUUUCUGGAAAAACGUGUUCUUUUCUAUAGGGGAGGAGCCAGCCUGGAGCACAUUCACAGGCUUAUUCAAUUGAUGGAGGAGUUGGGAAAAGAUCCUAUGUAAACAUACAAAAAUGUUUUUAAAAGUUAAUUCUUUCUUCAGAGCAUUUAUAAUUAAAAUGUUUCUUUUUUGAGAGUGGUAGCAAGACACUAGUACUCUGUGGCCAUCUUAGGAUAUCUAGAUUCCCUACGUAUUUUCUCUAAACCCAGUUGUUCUAAAACUUGUUUAGUAAAGGUUAAAAGUGAAUAGCUCUGUAAACUGCAGAAUGCUUUCCUACUUAGGUACGCUAAAAGAAAAGGUGAGAGGGUUCCCCACAUGUCCUGUCUCUGAAAAUAUCUUGACUUACAUUUUAAAAUCGAUGUACUUCAGGGAAAGUAUAAGGUAUCAGUUUUCUCUGUUUUCUUCUGUCAGAGUAAUCCUAUGAAGAGUGGGAUCUGAGAAAUGAUUCAGCUAGAAUUAUAGGUUGCCAUUUCUACAUUUUCCACUCUGUGACAAUCCUUUCAGUCAUUUUUAAGUCUUUUACAAGCCCAUUAAAAAAAAAAAAAAA